CUCCUGAGCUCCAGGAUACCUUUCCACCUGACCUGUGUAACACUCAGUAUUCUGUGACUCCCGAGUGCCAGAAUAUCUGACCCACUCCUGUUCCAUCCUGUCCCGACCCAUCCCGAAACGCUUACACCUUUAUCAUACAAGGAUCCAUAAUAAAGACUACCAGUAGAUUUAAUAGAAGAAAAACUUUGAACAAUAAGUCAGUGAGCUGGCACACUGACUGAAAACAAGCUGGAAAACCACAAAAGUAAGAAUAAUAAAAAACAACAUGGAGGCUGAAGAAAUGGUUCAGUGGGCAAUAGCAGCAUACUACUCUUGCAUAGGACCUGGAUUCAGCUUGUAGCACCCACAGGAAAUCUUGCAACUAUAUAUAUCUCCACUUUAAAGGAAUCCAGUCCCCUUUUCUGACUUCAGAGGCCUGGGCACAUAAAUACAUUCAAGCAAAACACACAUAAAGAGAUAUCUUUUUUAAGGAAAUCUGUGCAAAAUACACAGAAAACAUCUUUUUUUAAAAAUCUGGGCAUAGUGUUGCUGCCUAGUUAGAGUGAGAAGGAAAUUAUGACACAUCUACACUGUCGGGGACCAUAGGAGUGGCUCUAUUCCAUCUUGACAUAAGGUCAGAAAGUUCAAGCCCACUAUUGGUCUUUCAAGGUUAAACAACAGAAUGUUUGGCCUAAGGUGUGGCAAUUGUGUGUUUUGCCUUGACAACAGGAUAUCUGGCCUAGAAGUAGCUAAUGGAUGUCUUACCCUAACAACAGGAUAUUUGGUUUAGGGUUUGGUUACUUGGUGUUUUGGGUGUUAAGGAGGUGAUUACAUUUGUUUGUUCUUUGUUACCAUGGCAGGGAAGUCUUUUGCUUUCCCCUCUUUUGAUUUGGGUAUAUAAGGGCUUUGAGUAAUAAACUUGGGGCUGAUCCUAGUAUUCACUGGGUGCCCUCCUGACUCUUAUCACUUGUCUAUUUCUUUCCUUAAUUCAUAUUCCUCCUGACAAGCCAGCAGGACCGGACACUACACAUCACUGGCAGCACCCCCAGAGACCUCUACUCAGGUGAAGAAAAGCUAUGGAUACCAUCAAAAUUUGAUUUGGACAAGACACCUCUUAAUUAGAGAGAGAUAGUUCAUCAAGCAGCAUGACAUUUAAUCUAAACUAAUCUGUAAAACUAGCCAAUGUUUUUCAUUUGAUCAGAUAUAACUUGCCAAAGGAGAACCUCCCCAAAAAUUUAGGGUUGGGGAAGGGUUUUAUUUUUGUCUGGAAUCAGGAGACCACUGGACAAUUGAGACAUCUGAAGAAAUUGGUAUAUCAUAUUUCCAACAGAAUAAAAUUUCAUAAAUCUUCCCAAAUGUUUCUCUGCAGCUGUUGUUCCUUUCUCAUUAGCAUUCAGAAAAUUGAAAGUUAAUACAGAACUAUGCAAUUUGUUUCUGUGCUUCUUUAUCAUCUCUAUUUAUUUAGUAUAUCCUUUACAGUUUGAUUUGAUCUUUGUAUAACUGCCUGCCCUGUAGGAUUGUGUGGUAUACCUCUAAUAUGCUUUUAUAUUAUAAUAAACAAAAACCUGUUUCAUUUUCUGGA